rnacentral:tRNA from 1 species
GGGCCUGUAGCUCAGCUGGGAGAGCGCUGCGUUCGCAAUGCAGAGGUCAGGGGUUCGAUCCCCCUCAGGUCCACCA